CUGACCGAUAGUGAACCAGUACCGUGAGGGAAAGGCGAAAAGAACCCCGGCGAGGGGAGUGAAAAAGAACCUGAAACCGUGUACGUACAAGCAGUGGGAGCACCCUUUGGGGUGUGACUGCGUACCUUUUGUAUAAUGGGUCAGCGACUUAUAUUCUGUAGCAAGGUUAACCGUAUAGGGGAGCCGGAGGGAAACCGAGUCUUAAUUGGGCGUUAAGUUGCAGGGUAUAGACCCGAAACCCGGUGAUCUAGCCAUGGGCAGGUUGAAGGUUGGGUAACACUAACUGGAGGACCGAACCGACUAAUGUUGAAAAAUUAGCGGAUGACCUGUGGCUGGGGGUGAAAGGCCAAUCAAACCGGGAGAUAGCUGGUUCUCCCCGAAAGCUAUUUAGGUAGCGCCUCGUGAAUUCAUCUCCGGGGGUAGAGCACUGUUUCGGCUAGGGGGCCAUCCCGGCUUACCAACCCGAUGCAAACUGCGAAUACCGGAGAAUGUUAUCACGGGAGACACACGGCGGGUGCUAACGUCCGUCGUGAAGAGGGAAACAACCCAGACCGCCAGCUAAGGUCCCAAAGUCAUGGUUAAGUGGGAAACGAUGUGGGAAGGCCCAGACAGCCAGGAUGUUGGCUUAGAAGCAGCCAUCAUUUAAAGAAAGCGUAAUAGCUCACUGGUCGAGUCGGCCUGCGCGGAAGAUGUAACGGGGCUAAACCAUGCACCGAAGCUGCGGCAGCGACACUGUGUGUUGUUGGGUA
rnacentral:rRNA from 1 species